UUGGCAGGGUCGCGGAAUUGAAACAAAUCUCUAUGCUCAAUUUAAAUGUGAUUCCCUGAAGAUUGGAAUGGUGAAACAUCCUGAGGUUGCCCAGUUUCUUGGAGGACGACUCUACGACUGUGUCUUCAAAUACAAUGAAGUUUCGAGUUAAUGUUGAUUCGAUUCCUGUACUCUUAACAUAAUUAGUUCUGUGUUGAUCAUUUGAUAUACAUAGCAUUAGGUCAUAGCACCUGGAAACUUAAACCUAUCAAUUUUAAAAAUUUCGACCUUUUAAUUAUUAAUGAACUCCGAAAAUUAUUUGCA